AAACGUAACCCACCACUUUUACCCGUCCGAACCUGCCCAAAGAACCUCGCAUAAUCCGUUCCACCCCACUAACCAACCAACCCAAUUUCAAUUAUGUGGUUUAAUCAAGGCCGUUGGAUCCCAUCAUCCAAUGGCCCAAACUAAUUAACUUAUUUCUAAUAUAUCAAAAAUACCAACCCCCCACCCAUCAGACCAAACCCCCCUCUCUUGCUCCUCGUCCUCGUCUCUUCAGAGACACCCUUCACUCCGCCGCCCCCACCCACCGUAAAUCACCUCACAGCGUUUCCGCUGGUCCAAUCCCUUCCAAUAUUACGCCCAUGAACCACCAAACCCCCCUCAUUCCAAAUCCCUACUUUUUUUCUCUCGAAUGCUAGCCUAGCUUCUCAAAUUUUAAAUCUAAUAAGAAACCCUAAAAUCCCAAAAAUAGGCUAAUGGAAGUUUUCUUAACGGAUUAGGUAUAUUAAAACUUUAUUCUUGUUUUAUUGCUAAGAACACACGAAUAAUGUAGAAGUGGACAAAAUUGGAGGAAUCCAAAAAAUUUGAGCCAUGUUUUCUGCUGGUGCAAUAUUAGGUAUUUCUGUUCUCAUUUUUGUAUUGUCUCUGUUUACUUUUAUUUUUGUUUUAUUCUUCUUCUGCCUCUUUCUCAUAGUUUUUUUAGAAUUAUUUGGGACUGGAUUUUGUUUGUUAUUUGUUCUACGGUUUUUCUUUCUCAGUUUUUGAGUCUUUGUUAAUUGUGUUUAAUCUAUACAUCUAGUGUAUUUAGUUUUACUUAGGCUGUCAUUUUUUAUUCUUUUAUGUUAGUUUGUUGUUUGACUAAAUAGUAAAUUAACUUUAGCUUGUUAAUCAGUUUAAUAGUAUAGAUUAGUUGUUGUUUAUUUUCUUUUGUUUAUUCCUAACCAUUGUGUAGGUUGAUUUUUUAGGGAAAUUUGACCCGUUUGUAAGGUUGAAGGUAGAGUUUUGGGCUCACAGAGGUAAUUCGCAGAGGGUUCAGGGGUUGUUUGGGAUUUAAAACCUAAAAGUGAUUUAGUUUAAAAUGGUCUGCCAGUUGAAUAUUCAGUGUGCCACUAACCCAUUGAAUAUUUUAAUCAAAAUGGGGAAUAAGGGGAUGACCUAGUGCCUUUACUAAUUGAAAUUCAGAAACAAUAGAUUAAUAAUGAAAAAGCUAAAAGGGAGCACAUUGGGAGGGAAUAUACAAGUUGGACAACAAAACUUACAUGGGGGUAAUGAUAAAAGUCUUAGAAUAUGCAAGCUAGAAAUAGAAAAGGGGAGGGGAGGGUGGCAAGCUUGAUCUUUAAAUAGAAACACCACACAGACAUAGAAGGGGGAGAACUUUCAGACUUGAAGAAAACAACAUUUUGAGAGAUAUUAGGGCAUUCUGAUUUCUCGAGAGACGGUUUUAUAAAUAGUAACUGUAAGUUUGAGACAGAGAGUUCUGAAAGACUUUUAGAACGUUGGGAGUGAUUUUCAGACAUUAAAAGAGAGCUUAGGACUUUCUUGAAGGAGAUGGAGGUCUAAAAAAAGAAGAGAGCUUAGGAAUACAGAACAUUGGGUUUAUAAAGGGCUUCAACACUGUACUAAAAUAACUCUACUAUUCCAUUGAAACUGGUCUACUCUUUGUUGGUUUUUCUUGAAUUCCUGGGUUUAAUUUCAAGCUCGUUUAAGUUUGUUUGAGUAUGUUUGGGUAUUUUUUGUGAUUUUUGUUUCACACUUCUUUCCGUACUGUGUUUAAGUGUGUUUCUGGGCUGAACUGGUUGUGUUCGUGGUUGUUUGAACUCCAAAUCUGCAAUUACACUUCUUAUUUGCUGCUACUAACUUUCUCCUUCUUCAUUGUUGUAACUUUCAGGUACAUAUUCUACCCUUGUCUUGUUGUAGACCUAAAUUUAAGAGUGAAAUAAUGACUAUACAUGACUUCUCAUGUUCAACUGUGUUCGAUGGUCUACUGUAGUCCCACCAGUUCUCAAAACUAGAUGAAUAUUCAUCUUGUAAUUAAUGUGGAAUCGAGAUAUGUAACUGCUAGGUUAGAAAUCAGAUUAUCAGCAUAGUAACUACUUACUCGGACUGGAAGAUGAAUAUUUUCAAAUCUAUAUGGACAUUGUGAGUAGAAUGCUAGAUGUUGUCAAUUUCAGUUUAAACUAUUAGACUAAUUUGUAGUUUAUGUUUAGGUUGAUUUCUUGACAGUAGAGUCCAAAGUAAUAUAUGAUAACAAUUCUUAAAUAGUGAAUAAGUAAGGAUUUUCUUUUAUUUAUUAGAGAUAAACG
rnacentral:lncRNA from 1 species